CAGUCUGCAACUCGACUGCGUGAAGGCGGAGUCGCUAGUAAUCGCGGAUCAGAAUGCCGCGGUGAAUACGUUCCCGGGUCUUGUACACACCGCCCGUCACACCAUGGGAGCCGGGAAUGCCCGAAGUCAGUGGCCCAACCGAAAGGGGGGAGCUGCCGAAGGCAGGCCUGGUGACUGGGGUGAAGUCGUAACAAGGUAGC
rnacentral:rRNA from 1 species